ACAAGUCAGUCCUUUGAAGUUGGGCCUAAUUAAGAAGGUUGAGAUGAGACAUAACUGAGAUAUGUGUGUCUAAGCUUAGGCUUACUCUGGUUUAUAACAAGACACAAUGGUAGACUGGUGUCACAUCCCCUUUUGCAGACAGAGCAAUGGACCCCUCUUUUCAUCCAGACUAGCAUCUGAUGAAUUUCUCAUUUGGGCUUGCACUCCUUCAAAGAGCUGAGGGAAAUAAAUCUACAAGAGCCAACUGCACGCUAAAAUUAUAGCUUCUGAUUCCUGCUUGUCUCUCCUCACAUUCCCCAAAGCAAGUUCUUUAAAUCACUGGGAGAACCAGGUCAAGUCUGCUCUCUGAGAAGGCGUGAUGUCACCUUGCAUAACCAAAGUCCUCAGGAAAAUCAUGGCAUGUGGACUAAUGUGUGUGUUAUGGAGAGAGAACUUAAGAAAAUGACUCUAUUUUCCUGCCAUGAAAUAAAGACAAACUCAGUCUACAGGUGUUCAGGUUCUUGGCUAUCUCAGGGAGAGAUGCAAUCUCCAGGAAGGAUUUCACACCAGAAACUCCCUUUUUCCUUUCUGUACU